rnacentral:rRNA from 1 species
AGUGAACGCUGGCGGUAGGCCUAACACAUGCAAGUCGAACGGCAGCACAGUAAGAGCUUGCUCUUACGGGUGGCGAGUGGCGGACGGGUGAGGAAUACAUCGGAAUCUACUUUUUCGUGGGGGAUAACGUAGGGAAACUUACGCUAAUACCGCAUACGACCUACGGGUGAAAGCAGGGGAUCUUCGGACCUUGCGCGAUUGAAUGAGCCGAUGUCGGAUUAGCUAGUUGGCGGGGUAAAGGCCCACCAAGGCGACGAUCCGUAGCUGGUCUGAGAGGAUGAACACCCCACUGGGAAAGGAGAAACGGUCCAAGCCCCUAGGGGAGGCAGAGGGGGGAAAAUUUGGACAAUGGGCGCAAGCCUGACCCAGCCAUGCCGGGGGGGUGAAGAAGGCCUUCGGGUUGUAAAGCCCUUUUGUUGGGAAAGAAAAGCAGCAGGUUAAUACCCCGCUGUUCUGACGGUACCCAAAAAAUAAACACCGGCUAACUUCGU